rnacentral:lncRNA from 10 species
UUGUUGAGGUUUUCAAAUUUUUUUUAUUUUUAAGAAAAUAACUAGCCAGGAAUCAUUUUAUUUCUACUGUGGAAGAAUUAUGAAUUAUUCAAGAUCAAUCUUUAAUUGCUCAAUGUAAAUUAAGCCUUCAUAUGAUUUGGAUAUAAAGUAUCUUUCAGAAGCUAAAUAAUCAUACUAACUGCUCCCUUGAGCCCGGGAUGCAGAGGUUGCAGUGAGCUGAGAUUGCACCACUGCACUCCACCCUGGGCAACAGAGGGAGACUGCCUCAAAAAAAAAAAAAAAAAAAAACUUAUUAACUGCUGAAUCUUUUACAUUAACUUAAGCUUAAUUCUCACAUUAUCAAUUGUAUUGCUCAUAUAAUAUUUGAACCAUUUUUUCAAAAUCAGUUGUAAUGACUGAAAGAUGAAGGUCUCCAAUGUCUGAGAUAAGUAAAAGGAUAUCAAUUAAUACUAGAACAUUUACCUUCUUCAAGAAAAAUAUGUUAAUGGCUUAAUCAUGAUUGUCUACUUUUGAGAGACAGGACUCGCUGGAUUUCCUAGGCCGACUAGGAAUUCCUAAGCCUAGCUGGGGAAGGUGACCACACCUACCCUUAAACACGAGGCUUGUAACUCAGCUCACACCCGACCAAUCAGGUAGCAAAGAGGGCUCACUAAAAUACAAACUAGGCUAAAAGCAGGAAGUAGAGAAAUAGUCAAAUCACAUAUCGCCUGAGAGUACAGGGGUAGGGACAAUGAUUGGGAUAUAAACCCAGGCAUUUGAGCAGGAAGUGGGCAACCCCCUUUGCAUCCCCUCCCAUUGUAUGGGAGCUGUUUUCAUUCUAUUAAAUCUUGCAACUGCACACUCUUCUGGUCUGUGUUUGUUACAGCUCGAGCUGAGCUUUCGCUCACUGUCCACCACUGCUGUUCACUGCUGUCCCAGACCCACCAUUGACUUCCACCCACUGGAUCCAGCAGGGUGUCCGCUGUGCUUCUGAUCCAGAGAGGUGUCCAUUGCCGCUCCCAAUCGGGCUAGAGGCUCACCAUUGUUCCUGCAUGGCUAAGGGCCCAGGGUUCAUCCUAAUCGAGCUGAACACUAGUCACUGGGUUCCACAGUUCUCUUCCGUGACCCAUGACUUCUACUAGAGCUAUAACACUGACCACAUGGCCCAAGGUUCCAUUCUUUGGAAUCCGUGAGGCCAAGAACCCCAGGUCAGAGAACAAAAGGCUUGCUGCCAUCUUGGGAGUGGCCACCACCAUCUUGGGAGCUCUAAGAACAAAGGCCUGCCUGUAACACUUCUACCACAGAAUUGAGAAAAUAAAUUCAUUUGUAAUUUUUGUUUCUCUCACCUUCAAUGUCACUGGCAAACAUACUGCCUACCAGCUACUCCUCAGCCUUACACCUUAAGCAUACGUCCUGAUCUUACUCUUCGAGUUGAGGGUUUACCAUCUUGGCAUUGGGUAGCCGUGUUUCCCUGAGGCUACAGAUUAAGAGGGGUCACCAACUCAUUCCAUCUGCUCUCAUCUCGGCAGAGCAGGCCUACAGGUCAAUCCCAUUCCACUUGUGCAUUUCAUUCUGAUCUGUAACAGUAACAAGGCCUGGAUGAAAAGAUCACUGAAAAAACAAACUAGAAAUAUUCUAAAAUAGUUGUCAUUUUCCUUCCAUAGACUAUCAGGGAGUUUGUAUCUUUGAGACAGAACCCACACAGACUCAGUUUCUCUAUGCAGUCCUUGUUUCCUGCCAUUUAAUUUUAGAUGAAAAUGAGACAUAUGAGUACACUGAAAAGUAACAUCACCAUCUGGAAAAUUAUACUUAAGGAGAUUUUCAUCUGUAGGUUUUAGGA